rnacentral:lncRNA from 1 species
AUUCUAGGCAUAGUGAUUGAUUAGUGACCAAAAUCUGCCUCUUAGACAAAGCUGCAUGAAGGGACGCAAAUUCAUAGAAUAUAAUUGACUCACAGUAUAAAGAUAUUCCACAGCUCUUUCGGGGUUGUUAAAUGCAGCACGAAGUGCACGGACAACAGUCUCACGAUCCCAGGUUCCUCCACCCAUGUCAAGAAUCUGCUGAAUGGUACUCUCUAAAUUACUUCCAGCGGCUAGAUUUGAUGCUGCUUGUCCGUAAACAUCACCUUGACUUCUAUCUCAACCAAACAAAUAGGAAACAAAAUAAGAGAAGGUCAAUCUCUGAGCUGAGCAGAAGAUUAAGACGAGAUGCUAACCCCGCAGGAGCUGAGUCUGGUGCAGGAGUGCUUGAUGGUAUAGUAGCAGGUACAGGUUCAGGUAUAGGUGUAGUCACAGUUUCAGUU